rnacentral:lncRNA from 1 species
CGCCGCAGCAAGCCUGAUCCGAAACGGGUCCUCCUCCGCCGGCGGGUCAAGCAGCUCCCUCACAGACUCCGCCGCCGCCGCGGCACGUCCGGGGCCAUCACCAUCAUCGGAAUCGUACCCUUCCCCUCCAUUCCCCGCCGCCCCAGCGCCCUCCUCUCCCGCCGCGGCGCCCUCCGUCUCAAGAAACGCCUGCACGAGCCCGGACAGGCACGCGGAGGCCUCAUGCUCGCUGCCGCUGCUCGCCGACCCGCCGUCCCCGCGGAGCCGCGCGCGGACGGCGUCGUCCAGGCGGAUGUAGACGGCCAUUUCGCCGGAGCGCGUGGGUUGAGGUGGGAAUUCGCUCGCGGCGAGGGGAGGAGGAAGGCGGCCGACCUGGUUUUUAUAGGGUGGUUGGCAACGAGGCGAGAUGGGAAGGGUUUAUUCCCUUGGAUUAGUGGGGGUACUUAGGUUAGGAGCAACGAAUUUGAGCAAGUUAAACCAUGGAAUAUGCGAUAUGCCUUCCUGAUAGCACAUUGCCAAC